rnacentral:rRNA from 1 species
GACGAACGCUGGCGGCGUGCCUAAUACAUGCAAGUCGAACGCUGAAGGAGGGGCUUGCUUCUCUGGAUGAGUUGCGAACGGGUGAGUAACGCGUAGGUAACCUGCCUGGUAGCGGGGGAUAAAUAUUGGAAACGAUAGCUAAUACCGCAUAAGAGUAGAUGUUGCAUGACAUUUGAUUAAAAGGUGCAAUUGCAUCACUACCAGAUGGACCUGCGUUGUAUUAGCUAGUUGGUGAGGUAACGGCUCACCAAGGCAACGAUACAUAGCCGACCUGAGAGGGGGAUCGGCCACACUGGGACUGAGACACGGCCCAGACUCCCACGGGAAGCAGCAGUAGGGAAUCUUCGGCAAUUGACGGAAGUCUGACCGGGCAACGCCGCGUGGGUGAAGAAGGGUUUCGGAUCGGAAAGCUCUGUUGUAAGAGAAGAACGAGUGUGGGAGUGGAAAGUUCACGCUGUGACGGUAUCUUACCAGAAAGGGACGGCUAACUACGUG